rfam:Schistosoma mansoni strain Puerto Rico chromosome 7, complete genome
ACACUACUGAGGAGUUCCAUACUAGGACGAGACAGCUGUCUAGUGU